GCCGGAGUGAACAACAAUGGCGGAUGUUCAGAGAAGAGGAAGACCAUUACCUCCUCCUCCACCCAGAGGUCCACAUGGUCCACCUCCUCAAAGGAUUGCUCCACGCCCCGUACCAGUUGAUCGCGAAAAGACUUGUCCUCUGUUGCUUCGUGUUUUCACUAAGGUUGGAGGCCAUCACAAUGUUAAUGAAUUUGCUGUGAGGGGCAAGGAACCCAAAGAUGAGGUCCAAAUCUAUACAUGGAUGGAUGCUACUCUGCGCGAACUAACUGAUCUGGUUAAAGAGGUAGCUCCAGAAGCAAGACGAAGAGAUGCAAUUUUGUCCUUUGCUUUUGUCUAUCCUGAUAAAAGGGGGCGAUUUGUCGUUAGAGAGGUGGGGACUACAUUUUCUUAUCCCAAUAUGAGGCGACCAGAUAAUGGCAGCAAAACAUUGAGUGAACUUAAAUUUCAGGUAAUGCUCUCUUCGUAUGAGAUCAUUGACCUCAUCAUUUUUCUCGGAAUUUGGUAUUGACUUGUUUCUUGCCACUUCAGAUAGGAGAUUACUUGGAUGUGGCUAUCAUGUUCCAGUGAGCGUUAUGUCACCCUGUAAUGGAAUUAGAAUUACGCAGACUUGUAUUACUUUGUGUUUCUUCUUAAUUCUUCAUAUCUGUAUUUUUCUUGAUAACCUGACCUAUUGUUCAUUUUUGCUGUAAAUCUGAGAUUAUGUCCAGAGUUCUCUAUGACUAGAUCUGUGAUAUUACGAUAGUAUGUCAUGGGAUUUAACUGCAUUCUUCUUAUGAAUUGUCA
rnacentral:misc_RNA from 1 species